rnacentral:rRNA from 1 species
UACGGAAGGCAGCAGUGGGGAAUAUUGCACAAUGGGCGAAAGCCUGAUGCAGCUAUGCCGCGUGUAUGAAGAAGGCCUUAGGGUUGUAAAGUACUUUCAUCGGGGAGGAAAAAACAAAACUAAUAAUUUUAUUUCUUGACGUUACCCGAAAAAGAAGCACCGGCUAACUCCGUGCCAGCAGUCGCGGUAAUACGGAGGGUGCUAGCGUUAAUCAGAAUUACUGGGCGUAAAGAGCACGUAGGUGGUUUUUUAAGUCAGAUGUGAAAUCCCUGGGCUUAACCUAGGAACUGCAUUUUGAAACUGAAAUACUAGAGUAUCGUAGAGGGAGGUAGAAUUCUAGGUGUAGCGGUGAAAUGCGUAGAUAUCUGGAGGAAUACCUGUGGCGAAAGCGGCCUCCUAAACGAAUACUGACACUGAGGUGCGAAAGCGUGGGGAGCAAACAGGGAUUAGAUACC